AUUUAUUUAUAACCUUUCUGUUCUGAUUACAUUUGGACCUUUGCGUUUCUGUUUUUAUUGAAAUCAUUUUGUGAGCUUUUGAAUAUGUGUGUGUUUCUUUUGGUAUCUAUUGCAUACUGAUUCUGAAACCCAUUUUCAUUUUUAUGUUCUUCGUCUGCAUCUUUGAUUUGUUCCCUGUUAACCAUUUUCAAACAAUACUCAUGGUGAAGUCAUAAAGAAGUCAAAUUUGUAGUGUACUGAAACUUAUAUAAAGACUCUUAACUCUGCGUUUCUCAAAUAUAGGGACUAGCCAUGACAGAGGACAAUGAAAGCAGGCCUCCAAUUAAAGCAUUGAACUUCUCUUCAUUAAUUGAUUUACCUAACCCUAAAAUUUCCAAGUGCAUAUUUGAGGCUUUUUUGUUUGUUUGUUUUUAUGCAGUUUGAGAGUAUUUGGCUUUGCUGGGAUUGUUAAGGUUGUCAUUCUUCUUCCAAUAAAUUAUCUGGGGAGCCAGCUCUCCUUCAGUUUUUCAAAUGUCAAUGAUGGCUCAAAAUGGUAAUUGUGUGGUUCGGAAUGUCAUCUGUAGGUGUUGUUGAUUGAAACUUGUGGAAACAAAACAAAGAUCUUCCAUCAUAUGGUAUUGCGGGAUCGUUAGUUGUAGGUAGAAGGAAGUUUUUUAUUAGGAUUGCUGUCGAUUGCCUAAGAACUAUGUCAGAUGUAUCUUUUUUUCAGCAAGCUCAAAGCCAGAAAUACUUGGAGCGCAUCCUUUACACAUGGCUAAAUACUAUACCUGUCCUCCUAUUUUUGGAUUUCUUAUGUGUUCAUGUCAGGAACAGAGAAAUAUUCACACACACACACACACACACACACACACAUUUCAAAGAAGACAAAAUUUGAUGUUUAUCAAAACAGAUAGUCACAAGCGUGAUUAAUUUAAUUGUGUUUCAAUUCUGUUAAACGUGCAAUGUUGUCUCCCUAGGCUAGGUUCCUUCUAUAUACGGACAUUAAGCUUAGAGGAUCUGGUUAUUUUGUGAUUGCUCACUCGCAAAAUUUACCUGGAUAUACUCCACCUGUAAGUCCUUGCCUAAUACCCUUGUAUCAUUUAAGUUUUUCAGUG